UGCCCCGUCGUCCAACGGUAGGACACCAGACUCUGGAUCUGGGUAUCUAGGUUCGAGUCCUAGCGGGGCAA
rnacentral:tRNA from 1 species